GUUGGGCUCCCCUUUCCUUAUUCUG
rnacentral:piRNA from 1 species